rnacentral:hammerhead_ribozyme from 1 species
ACACUGCUGAUGAGACCCAACUAGGUCGAAACAGAUUUCCAGUGC